GCAGUCGACGGUAACAGGUCUUCGGAUGCUGACGAGUGGCGAACGGGUGAGUAAUACAUCGGAACGUGCCCGAUCGUGGGGGAUAACGGAGCGAAAGCUUUGCUAAUACCGCAUACGAUCUACGGAUGAAAGCAGGGGACCGCAAGGCCUUGCGCGGACGGAGCGGCCGAUGGCAGAUUAGGUAGUUGGUGGGAUAAAAGCUUACCAAGCCGACGAUCUGUAGCUGGUCUGAGAGGACGACCAGCCACACUGGGACUGAGACACGGCCCAGACUCCUACGGGAGGCAGCAGUGGGGAAUUUUGGGCAAUGGGCGAAAGCCUGAUCCAGCCAUGCCGCGUGCAGGAUGAAGGCCUUCGGGUUGUAAACUGCUUUUGUACGGAACGAAAAGACUCCUUCUAAUAAAGGGGGUCCAUGACGGUACCGUAAGAAUAAGCACCGGCUAACUACGUGCCAGCAGCCGCGGUAAUACGUAGGGUGCAAGCGUUAAUCGGAAUUACUGGGCGUAAAGCGUGCGCAGGCGGUUAUAUAAGACAGAUGUGAAAUCCCCGGGCUCAACCUGGGAACUGCAUUUGUGACUGUAUAGCUAGAGUACGGUAGAGGGGG
rnacentral:rRNA from 1 species